AUGUGCAGCGCUCGCAGCCGCUUGGCCUCGUCGAUGAACGGCCGCUUCUCCGUCUCCGACAAAAGUUUCCACUCGGCGCCCAGGCGCUUGCUGAUCUCCGAGUUGUGCAUCUUGGGGUUCUCCUGGGCCAUCUUGCGCCGCUGCCCGCGGGACCACACCAUGAAGGCGUUCAUGGGCCGCUUGACGCGGUCCGGGCUGUUCUUCUGGUUGCCGCCCGCCGCCGCCGCGGUGGAGUUGCCGCCGCCGCCGCCGCCGCCGCCGCCCCCCGAAGUUUGCUGCGGGCCCGGCGGCUUCAGCUCCGUCUCCAUCAUGUUGUACAUGCGGGCGCUGUGCGCGGGCCCGGCCCGCCGGCGGCCGCCGACCCUCGGCCCGGCCGGGACUUUGGGGGGCCCGCGGGCGGGCGGGCGGGGGAGGAGGAGGAGGGAGGCGGGCGGGGGUGUCGCGAGCGCAGGGCUCCGCGAGAAAAAGCAGGCGAAGAAUAAUUUGGGGGAAGAAAAGAGAGAGAGAGAGAGAGAAGCAAACUGGAAUCGAGAUCAAAAAAAGCGCUUCCCUCCUCUUCUGGCCGAUCCUGCCGCCGCCGAUGAUUGUUAUUAUUAUUUUUUGGAAAGGCUUAAGCCUGGGGCUCAAACUUCUCUCCCUUUCUUUCUCUCUCCUCUUCUUUCUCUCAGUCCUAGUCUUAAAGAGGCAGCAAACUACUUUCCCCCUUUUGCAAACACUCUCUUCUCUGCCUUGACAACUCCUGAUACUUUUUUGAACAAGUUAAUAGACAACCAUCCAUGUGAUGGGGGCUGUCAGGGAAUAAAUGGGUUUCCGGCGACCAAUCAGCGCGCGGCGGCUCCUCCACUCGAGCCCGGCCUCGCCGCCGGGUUUUGCAUGAAAGGGGGCGGGGCCUGCCGCGCCGCAGGCCGCGCGGGGGAGGAGGGGGAGGGGGGAGGGGGGAGGGGGGGGGGGGGAGGGGGAGGCGGAGGGGGGAGGCGGCUCCCACAGCCAGCCUGCCAGCCACUGAGAAACCUUUGUAUCCCCUCUCGCAGCAACAGGUCACACCACACGCCUUUUCGAAGGAAGUGGGUAAACAGCACUAAGACUACGAUUCUUUCUUUCUUCUUCAAACUUCACGUUGAUUUACUUUUUUUGGUGCUGGCCGCGGAGUUGGGGAAGGGGCGCGAGGGCCCGCAGAGGUGGAGGGGCGGGGCGGGGGGGGCUCAGGGCGACGGUCCCACCAGGAUUUCAGGAAACAGGCGGCGCGAGAGUCGGUGUGUCCGGGUCUUCCCGCCCCGCGCGCCUCCCCGCGCCUCCCCGCGCCUCCCCGGGCUCGCGCUCCCGGCCCCUGCCCCGGCCCCGGCCCCGGCCCCUGCCCCUGCCCGGCCCCGGCCCCUCGCCCCUCCGGGCGCCGGCCCGGCUCCCCCCUUCCUCACUGUCCCGACCUGA
rnacentral:lncRNA from 1 species